rnacentral:misc_RNA from 1 species
CCAAACUUGGUCAUUUAGAGGAAGUAAAAGUCGUAACAAGGUCUCCGUUGGUGAACCAGCGGAGGGAUCAUUACAAGAGAGUUAGCGAUAACUCAUAACCCUUUGUGAACAUACCUUUUGUCAGUUGCUUCGGCGGGAGGCCCCUGGGAGGGGCCCCGGGGCCCGGCCGCGCCGGGCUCCCGCCGGAGGGGCGCCCCACAAACUCUUGCUGUACCUCAGUGGCACAUCCGGGUCAACACAAACAAACAAAUCAAAACUUUCAACAACGGAUCUCUUGGUUCUGGCAUCGAUGAAGAACGCAGC